GUCAACAGUAAUUCUCUAAGUGGUGAAAUAUGUGCAUUGUUGAGAAAAUGGCUAUUAAGUGAGAGAAAACUUUAGCAGAGGUGGAAAAGGAAGUUACAUUGCUGGAUUUGGUAAGUCUUCUUGAUCUAUCAAGAAGAUAGAUCUCUCAAGAAGAUAUCAAGAUUUGGCCCCAAGAGGUUGAAGAAUUAGAUGCAAUUGUCCCCGACCGUUUGGAACUUACAAGUUCACAUGAGAAUUGAAGAGCCAAGAAAAUUCGUGUGUGUGAAACCAACAGCAAGAACUCAGGCUGGUGUGUCAGCUAAGGCAUCGCAGGAAACCGAUAAGCAGAACAGAAGGGGAAAAGCGCGGCACCCUGGAGAGGUCCACUUGGAGCACGUGGGGUUUCUUCCCUUCUUUCUGUGGCUCAAACCACCCGUUAUUCAUACUGUUUGGUCGCCUUUUUCUUCACUCAACAAUAGUCCAGAUGCAUAUGCAUUCUGGGGGGCUUGCUCCAGUGCCCGGCACCAGAGGGGCAGGACAUCUAUUUCUCAGUCGUCCUUGUUGGCAUCUGUUUCCACCUUCCAGGGGCUGAUCCAUCCUUGCACUCAAGGCAUGAGCAAUGAGACUCACAAGGACUAGGCCUUAAUGCUUAAGGCCAUUAAUUCAAGACAACCAACGCCAGCAGCACACGAGCAUUCAGAAGCGAGAUUCUGAGUUCUUUCCAACCCGCACGUCGACUUCAAG
rnacentral:lncRNA from 1 species